GACGAACGCUGGCGGCGUGCUUAACACAUGCAAGUCGAACGGAACGGCCCUUCUUUUGUGGGGUGCUCGAGUGGCGAACGGGUGAGUAACACGUGAGUAACCUGCCCUUGACUUUGGGAUAACUUCAGGAAACUGGGUCUAAUACCGGAUAGGAGCUCCUGCUGCAUGGUGGGGGUUGGAAAUUUUCGGCGGUUGGGGAUGGACUCGCGGCUUAUCAGCUUGUUGGUGGGGUAGUGGCUUACCAAGGCUUUGACGGGUAGCCGGCCUGAGAGGGUGACCGGCCACAUUGGGACUGAGAUACGGCCCAGACUCCUACGGGAGGCAGCAGUGGGGAAUAUUGCACAAUGGGCGGAAGCCUGAUGCAGCAACGCCGCGUGCGGGAUGACGGCCUUCGGGUUGUAAACCGCUUUCGCCUGUGACGAAGCGUGAGUGACGGUAAUGGGUAAAGAAGCACCGGCUAACUACGUG
rnacentral:rRNA from 1 species